rnacentral:rRNA from 1 species
UACGGAGGGUGCGAGCGUUAAUCGGAAUUACUGGGCGUAAAGCGCGCGCAGGCGGUGAUGUAAGACAGAUGUGAAAUCCCCGGGCUUAACCUGGGAACUGCAUUUGUGACUGCACGGCUAGAGUGUGUCAGAGGGGGGUAGAAUUCCACGUGUAGCAGUGAAAUGCGUAGAUAUGCGGAGGAACACCGAUGGCGAAGGCAAUCCCCUGGGCCUGUACUGACGCUCAUGCACGAAAGCGUGGGGAGCAAACAGGAUUAGAAACCCUGGUAGU